rnacentral:rRNA from 1 species
UACAGAGGGUGCGAGCGUUGUCCGGAAUCACUGGGCGUAAAGGGCGUGUAGGUGGCUUGCUAAGCGUGUGGUGAAAGCCUGGGGCUCAACCCCAGGUCUGCCGUGCGAACUGGCAAGCUUGAGUGCAGUAGAGGCAGGUGGAAUUCCGGGUGUAGCGGUGGAAUGCGUAGAUAUCCGGAAGAACACCGGUGGCGAAGGCGGCCUGCUGGGCUGUUACUGACACUGAAACGCGACAGCGUGGGGAGCAAACAGG